AACACUACUUAGCAUUUGCAUAGAACCUUAUACUUUCAAAGAACUCAACGAUUAUUAAUUGGUUAAUCCUCUCAGGAGCUGUGUGAGGUAGGCCAGCCUGACCCUUUCUUUUUACAGACCCAGAGGUUAAGUGGCUUGCCCAAAGACCCAGACAUUCCAGUUACACUUGAACUUGGAGGUUGAUUUCUAAUGUUUCCUGCUGACCACAGAAGUCAGCGGUUCAAUAUCAGUAGAUUAAAAUACAGUAGACAAGAACAGAUCGAAGUAGGUUUUUAGCUGCUCGGUGACGAAACAGUAAAUAGCUAAAGUUGACUUUUUGCUUUUAUCUGUCUCGGAGCUUUUCUAAGGAAAUCACAAUUUAUUUUAUAAAAUUAUAGUAAUUUUAAAACAAUUAGAAAAUUAAACUGGGUUCUUGGUAGAAAGGUCAAUGUGAGGAAGAGAAUGACCCACUUCCUCUUUAAUAAUUGAGUUAACUGAAAUUUGGACUAGUUUGUCAGGAGCACUGUUGGCCUUGUUCACAAAGUUUCUGACAGUCGCCUCCCAUCAAGAAACAAGCCUACGGGGAAAAGAGGAGAGGGGGCUGCUACCCACUCAUUAGCACGCGCCGUGGUUUGGAUGGGACCGCUCUCCUGUGUGCACGGUGACCUCCCUGCCCGUGAGUUUGCUGGAGGCUCUACCUCCUGUGCCGUCUAGACCUCUGCCUUCUCUCUGAAUGCUUUUCCUCCUGUUGGUAAAAGCCAAGACUUCAGUUUCAAUUUUUUAACUUUUAGAAAAAUAUGUUGAUCUGAGGCAUUUCUCAGUCAUACGGCUUCUUGCAGCUUGUUUUGGUGUUUUUUGUUUUGUUUUGUUUUUUGGUGGGCGUGGGGCAGAGAACUCAAUGAAUUCUUUCUUCAACUAACUGCCUUUCUGCAUAUCAGGUGGGCAUCACCAGUUUUUGAAAGCGAAAAUUUUGGUUUUCUCUUUUUCUCCUACAAAGUCUGGUUCUCGGGAAUUUGCACGAGAGGUGAGAGGAGAUUCACUCUGGCCUCGCCUGAGUGUUUGGACUCCGUGUCCAUGGGAUAUGGGCCAGACUCUCCUCAGGAGCUGUUUCUGGGGAGGGACCAGCUCCCUUAGAGACAUGAGUUUACUGGAACCAACAAAAGGCCUUUGGGUAUGUCUGCUGGGGAACACGGAGUUUAAACUGACCCCAUGGCCACAGGCUCAGAG
rnacentral:lncRNA from 1 species